AGGUACACUCUUGAAACAGCAAAACGAUGAGCAGGAGUUUGGUUUUGAGCCACAGUUUCAGAUACCAGCCACAGAUGCCUCUGCCCUAUCUCACUACAUGCUCUUUUCUAAGAAACACAUUCAAUGGUUGUAUUAAGUACUAAGGUGGGAAGAAAUGACCUGCUCACCACCAUCCACCCUCCUUCCUUCUUCUUCCAUGUGAACCCACAGUAGCAGACGCUGUAAACUGGAAGGACGGGUUGCGCAGAACGACAUUUGGAGUAAACUUAAAAAGUCUGUACCAGAAUCUGGCUCCCAUACUCAAGGCCCGUGGCUCCAGAAGUGAUCUGCCUGGAGCUGUGUGUUAUGCCUCAGUAUGGACACCACUGGUUCCCCAUCAUGUGCUACAACACAACAACCGCCAGCAAGAGAUGCCUCAUCCCUUGGCCACAUCCCAACCCACAGCCUGAAGCCGGCCCCAUCUGCCCUGGGAAGCCGACUACAGAAGAGGAUUCUGUGACAAAGACUCAUCUCGCCUCUACCACCUGUGCCCGAACAUUCUGCUCCUUCCAGGCUCUGCAAAUGCAGGGGGAAAGCAAUCUGACUGAACUGGUUCCAUCUUAUGUGUGAGUGAGCAAUACUCAUUUCACACUUAAGCGUAUUUUGCAAACAUAUUUCUGGUUUCUAGAAGUAAACAAAGGUAGC
rnacentral:lncRNA from 1 species